AAGAAUGUGGCUGUUUUCCACCCUUUUCCUAAGUAUCUGCCUAAAGAUAAACUUGGCAGAGGAGAUUUCAAGACAGCCUAAUAUUGACCCUGUCUCUUGGUUACAAACAAUCACUCCCAUGCAGGUCUACAGAGAAAAAGAGCAAGCGGGAGCAGAAAAACAGGAUGCACAGUUUGGAGAGAAAAAGAACACAGACAAGCUUCAUGCUCCAGGCAAGGCUUGUGCUGGAAGAGAGGCUGCAAUUGGUAAGGAGAUUAGCCCCAUUAAGGAGAGACCUGAUUCUUAGCAGAAGAAAGGAAGGGUGUCCUCAGGAUAAUAUCCCACCCAGCUAAGCACCCAGCUUAUGAACGGAAAGCCUAAGGCUGUUCUGUUCCUACAAAGCAAGAGCAUACAAAAGCUGCCACAAAUGUGGUUCAAAGGAUGCAGGGUUCAUAUCCCAAACUGGCAGCUGAACGUGGCAAUGUUGCUCAAUGGUUCUGGCUUUAGAACCAUGAAGAAUGCAUGAGGAAAGUGGUGGUAGACUCUUCCUCCACAGCUGUAGAGUGCUUCUGAGGCCAGAUGUGUGGCAGGGGAGUUUGUUCCUAAAGGCAGUUGGCUCUGAUAGGCCACUGUGGGAAGCUGUGCAAAUGAAGCCUGGGUUGCAGCAGAGGCCCCAAGAUUUGACCAAUGGGACCCCAGGCCCCAGGUGAUGGCAUCCACCUGCCCAUGCAUUUGCAGAAACUGACCUGAACCUACCUAGGAAUUGAUUUGAAAAUUACUUUUCUCAAUCUUCAAGAUUUUGUCUAUAUUUAACUUAUGAUAGCUUUAGGCAAAAAUGUAUCAACCCAUUUCUUUUUGAGAAAACUGGAUUAAGGGGUUCUAAUAUACUAGAUAUUGAACAAAUGACAAUUUCUAAAUUCAUGCUGGCCUCUCUAGCAAACAGAAACAACCCAGGAGGGACGAGGAGAGGGAACCAAAUGAGCACAGGGUGACCAUGACAUGUGACAGCUGCAGUUAGAGCAUCCAGGCACAGGGUGUGGACCUCCCCUCAUAAUACCAGAAAAGCAGACGACAUGGCUGAGUGCUGCCUGAGUGGCUGCAGGUGCCCAGUGCCCCUAAUGGACAUGAAGAAAGCAUCUCUAGCCAAAGUCUUCCUGAGGAGGAGUCCAAUGGUGAGACUCAAUUCAGACGAGUUCAGUCCGGUCUCAGACCGAAAAGGACCAGGCUGUCAUGUGUGAGAGGUGUAAGAAUAUGACAGGCAGGUUGGAGCCCGUGCUGGAAGGAAAGGUUCUAGAUACUUACAGAUACCAACAUAAAAUAGGAAAUGAGUGUUUAUGAAGUAUGUAAAUAAACAAGAGUUAAUGAUGAGAGAAAGAACAAGCAAGGAGCCACAGGAAAUCAAAACUGCUCACAGUCAAGAAUUGGAUUUCCACUCCAUACCACAGACGAAAAUUAAUUCCAAAUGGUGUACGUACUUGAAUAGGAAGAGGAAAAUUGAUAUUUCUACAAGAGAAUAUAAAGCAGCACUUUUAUGGAGGAAAGGGAAGGGCUCUUGGAAGUAAAGCACAGAAUGUGCAAGUUUUAAAGGAAAAAAACCCAAAGCCAAUUAUAUGUAACUAUAUUAAAACUAGGAAAUCUUACCCACCUAAGUUACCAUCAAGAAAAUGACAAAGUGGAUCCCUUACUAGGGAUCACUGACAAUGAAUUAAAAUCCAGAAUAUAUAAAACAGUUCUACAAAUGAAUAAGAAAGGACAAGUCAUUAGAAUAUGGGCAGAGGGGUAUGUAUGAAUACGGGCUGGGGACAUAACUACGUCAGCAGAGUGCCUGCUAGCAUCCAUGACGCUGUGGACUCCAUCUCUGGCUCCCAUCAAGUCCAGGUGUGCACGUGAUCCCAGGACUCGGCAUGUAAAGGCAGGAGGAUCCCAAGUUCAAGGAGCUCCUCAGCUCCAUGGCUAGUCUGAGGCCAGCCUGGGUAUGAACAGGCAUCUCACAGAGGCAGAGUGCUGACCUGCUGGCAAUGUGGAAAGAGGUUUCCGCCUCCACCAUUGGAGAAAUGCUAGCAAGAGCACGCUGAGGUACCACAUCCCCAUGCAGAUCACAGUGAGAUCUUUCUUGCCACACAGUAGGCUAGCAAGCAUCCAUUGUAGGGUAACUUUAGGAAUGAAUCGUUAAUAGGGUCUCGUCGGCUUUAGCUGUUUUCACAAAGUGUGGUACCACAGAGCCACUUCAGGCCAACGACUCUGCCUGAGUACACAGAGGAGAGAAACUGUUUCACUGUGUGCUAGAGCCACAUGCCAGAGUCAUCACAACUGUGGAGCCUAGAGAAACCUGGGGCUGGUCCAAAUGUCUCUAACAGGGGAACAAAGAAGGAUGCCAUCAAACCAUAUGACAGUCACAGAGGCCAGUGUCACAGUGGACAGCGGGUAGCACACAGAGACUGGCCAAAUGCAGCUGUGGAUGAAGUUCUGAGAAACAAGCACAUAUAGGUAAACUACAUAAAUAUAACUUUCAGACCAGUGACAUCAUAGGGGUGGGGCCAAGCAGAACAGGAAGCAGAGCCUACCUCACAGGG
rnacentral:lncRNA from 1 species